GUGCUCACUUCUGCAGCACAUGUAUUAACGGCAGAACAGUAUGGAGAAGAGCAUGCCCCCUGUGCAAGGACGACAUGAAAAUUCACGACGUUUCUAUAUGGUUU